CCUUUGCUGGACUGUUAUAAAGACUGAGUAAUAGUGCAUAAAGGGGAAUUCCUUAGAUUCCCAUUUAUCUAAGAUUAUUGGGCAAUCAGGACAUUUUUAAUGAUGCACAUAAAUGGAAUACAACCACCAUAAGAAAAAACAAAAUCUUCAUCUACAACAGCAUGGAUAUACCUAGUGUCUGUUAUAAACUUUAUUUCUGUAUAUAAAGUCCAGAUUAGGUCUCUUGGAUUCCCAAAAUAACUAUUAGGACACAUCUCAUUUUAGGCUUUAGAUAACUGUAAUAAAAUAGCAAAUGUAGGUCUAAGUAUAAAGGUGAAACACGAAGUACAUACACAUUUCUAAUGUACAGAAGAACGCUGUGUUUCUCUUGUUACAGACAAAAAGGUUCCCCAAACUACGCAUCAGGGAACCCUAGUAAAUCAGUACAAGGGUCCGUGUUUAAAUUUCUGAGGGGAACACAUCUGUUGGACAUAACACAAACUGCUUGUUUGAGGUAGUUUAUAUUCUCAAUCUUAAGUGGCUUUCUAUUUCUUCCCAUGACGGUGCAUCUUUUAAAAACUGGUUUUUCAGGAGCUGUGAUAAAAGUACUGUGCAAAAAGCAUAGUGCAACAGAAGUGACAGCAGCAGUGUCGAUCCACGCUGAUUCCAAGGUGUGAGAAGCUGUACAGUGUCCGCAAUUACUAAUGCUUACGAUAUAAAUUCUUACUAAGUUGUCUGGACCUGACUGCUUAAUAAAUGGAAGUAUCAUGCAAUUCUUUUGUCCUAGAUGUGAAAGAAAAAAGAAAAAAAAAUGACUGAAACGCUAAAGGGCACUAUGAGCUGAGAAAAUAUUAGGAACAUCUGUGGUAUAGGCAAGGAUACCCUAAGACAAAAGUAAUUUCAUCAUUCAUUUUUCUACCUAAGAAAUUUUCUAAUCUUAUAGAAGGAGGAAAAAAAAUAUAUAAAAACAUACAUACAAAGUUUGGAUUUUUAUUGAAAUCUUGUGUUACGUAUCAAACAAAUCUGCUUUCUUCAGAUAAAAAUAUUUUUUCAGAGUUUCCAGGUAACUGCUAAAAGGUUACGUUGGUCCUUCGAUGUCUUAUUAUUUUUUGUUGUCAGGAAAGGUUCAUAUACAUGUAGGAUGUCCCCAGAGUAACUCUUAUCGCGUAAAGGACCGCACGUGCCGGCCUCUGCCGCUGCCGCCGCUGACAAA